GAAUUACUGGGCGUAAAGAGCUCGUAGGUGGUUUGUCGCGUUGUUCGUGAAAACUCACAGCUUAACUGUGGGCGUGCGGGCGAUACGGGCAGACUAGAGUACUGCAGGGGAGACUGGAAUUCCUGGUGUAGCGGUGGAAUGCGCAGAUAUCAGGAGGAACACCGGUGGCGAAGGCGGGUCUCUGGGCAGUAACUGACGCUGAGGAGCGAAAGCGUGGGGAGCGAACAGGAUUAGAUACCCUGGUAGUCCACGCCGUAAACGGUGGGUACUAGGUGUGGGUUUCCUUCCUUGGGAUCCGUGCCGUAGCUAACGCAUUAAGUACCCCGCCUGGGGAGUACGGCCGCAAGGCUAAAACUCAAAGAAAUUGACGGGGGCCCGCACAAGCGGCGGAGCAUGUGGAUUAAUUCGAUGCAACGCGAAGAACCUUACCUGGGUUUGACAUGCACAGGACGUGCCUAGAGAUAGGUAUUCCCUUGUGGCCUGUGUGCAGGUGGUGCAUGGCUGUCGUCAGCUCGUGUCGUGAGAUGUUGGGUUAAGUCCCGCAACGAGCGCAACCCUCGUCCUAUGUUGCCAGCGGGUUAUGCCGGGGACUCGUAGGAGACUGCCGGGGUCAACUCGGAGGAAGGUGGGGAUGACGUCAAGUCAUCAUGCCCCUUAUGUCCAGGGCUUCACACAUGCUACAAUGGCCGGUACAAAGGGCUGCGAUGCCGCGAGGUGGAGCGAAUCCUUUAAAGCCGGUCUCAGUUCGGAUUGGGGUCUGCAACUCGACCCCAUGAAGUCGGAGUCGCUAGUAAUCGCAGAUCAGCAACGCUGCGGUGAAUACGUUCCCGGGCCUUGUACACACCGCCCGUCACGUCAUGAAAGUCGGUAACACCCGAAGCCGGUGGCCUAACCC
rnacentral:rRNA from 1 species